rnacentral:rRNA from 1 species
GAUGAACGCUGGCGGCGUGCCUAAUACAUGCAAGUCGAGCGAACAGAUAAGGAGCUUGCUCCUUUUACGUUAGCGGCGGACGGGUGAGUAACACGUGGGUAACCUACCUAUAAGACUGGAAUAACUCCGGGAAACCGGGGCUAAUGCCGGAUAACAUUUAGAACCGCAUGGUUCUAAAGUGAAAGAUGGUUUUGCUAUCACUUAUAGAUGGACCCGCGCCGUAUUAGCUAGUUGGUAAGGUAACGGCUUACCAAGGCAACGAUACGUAGCCGACCUGAGAGGGUGAUCGGCCACACUGGAACUGAGACACGGUCCAGACUCCUACGGGAGGCAGCAGUAGGGAAUCUUCCGCAAUGGGCGAAAGCCUGACGGAGCAACGCCGCGUGAGUGAUGAAGGUCUUCGGAUCGUAAAACUCUGUUAUUAGGGAAGAACAAAUGUGUAAGUAACUGUGCACGUCUUGACGGUACCUAAUCAGAAAGCCACGGCUAACUACGUG